rnacentral:rRNA from 1 species
AGUGAACGCUGGCGGUAGGCCUAACACAUGCAAGUCGAACGGCAGCACAGUAAGAGCUUGCUCUUACGGGUGGCGAGUGGCGGACGGGUGAGGAAUACAUCGGAAUCUACUUUUUCGUGGGGGAUAACGUAGGGAAACUUACGCUAAUACCGCAUACGACCUACGGGUGAAAGCAGGGGAUCUUCGGACCUUGCGCGAUUGAAUGAGCCGAUGUCGGAUUAGCUAGUUGGCGGGGUAAAGGCCCACCAAGGCGACGAUCCGUAGCUGGUCUGAGAGGAUGAUCAGCCACACUGGAACUGAGACACGGUCCAGACUCCUACGGGAGGCAGCAGUGGGGAAUAUUGGACAAUGGGCGAAAGCCUGAUCCAGCCAUACCGCGUGGGCGAAGAAGGCCUUCGGGUUGUAAAGCCCUUUUGUUGGGAAAGAAAAGCAGCAGGUUAAUACCCCGCUGUUCUGACGGUACCCAAAGAAUAAGCACCGGCUAACUUCGUG